UACGAAGGGGGCUAGCGUUGUUCGGAAUCACUGGGCGUAAAGCGCACGUAGGCGGAUUGUUAAGUCGGGGGUGAAAUCCUGGAGCUCAACUCCAGAAUUGCCUUCGAUACUGGCUUUCUAGAGGCUGGAAGAGGUUAGUGGAAUUCCCAGUGUAGAGGUGAAAUUCGUAGAUAUUGGGAAGAACACCAGUGGCGAAGGCGGCUAACUGGUCCAGAUCUGACGCUGAGGUGCGAAAGCGUGGGGAGCAAACAGG
rnacentral:rRNA from 1 species